GUGAAGUAAUUUGGUUAAUGAAGGAUAUGAAGAACAGCUGAGGCAGGAUCUCAGUAUCUCUGGUGCAAGUGUAAGGAGUGAUGGGAUUCUGGUUUGGCUUUGCAAGGCUACGGCUGACAAGGUAAUGCUGUAACCCCUUCAAGGUGCAAGGAGUGCAGGUGCACCGAGCCUCAGUCUUUGCAUACUCAGACAGAUGAGGGAAAGCAAGCUGAGAGGAGCUGCGGUGAUGUGUACUGAUGCAUGGACUGAUGGAGGUGGAGAGUGAUGGGGCCAAAGAGUGGAGAAGUGAGGCCCUAGAGCAUCUGUGGGAAAGGGAAAACCUCUGUUGGACAGCAGAGAGGGCACGUGUGUAAUGACACUGCAAGACAGACCCAGCAUGUAGCCACUGUUAAGAAAAGACUUCGAAUGUACUGAUCUGCAGAGAGCAAGCAAGAUGGUCUGGUUGUAAGACACCAAGGGCUGCAGCGAGAGUGUGACCAGCUGCUCCUUCCUCAGGCACUCUGGAAAAGCAUAUCACGGCAGAUGUCCUUCCUUGCCAUUUUUUUUUCCCCGUGUUCUUCACAGUGUGGUUUGCUUUUGCAUCAGGUACCACGUUGCUUUCAAUGCCAUGACUGCACAGGAGCAGCUCUGGCGUAGCUAGAGGUCACAGCUGUAGCAUGUCUGGCGCUGGGGUUGGCUUUGCCUCCCCUAUCCUCUUGUGCAGGAGCAAUGCCUCCAAAAGCCCUUCCACCACCUGUUUGGCUGGAUGGAGCUGAAGUCCUUUUCCCCUAAAUAUAGCUCUGUGCGCGUGGCGGAGCUGAGCUCUGUUGGCAUAGCAAAGCACAAGCAAAGGGAAAGCCAGAUGGCUGAUUCAUGCUGAAAGGCAGCGUGAGGGACUAGAGAAGACAGGCAAUGACUUGGCACAGUGACCAGUUUCUUGGAUGCCUCGGAGAGGCCGUCUUACCUUUCUGUCCCACCCUCUCCACUUACCUAUAGCUUUUUUUUCAGACAGGAAUAUCUCUACUUGCCAGGGACUGCAUCUCUCUCCCAAAAAGGGACGAUCACAGCACACAAAAUUUUGCCAUAUGGAAUUUGAGUUGAGGUAUUUCCUCAAAGGAGGGAGGUGGGUUCAUCCUCCUGGAGACACAGAUUGUCCAUCUCUCUUUGCUGACUGUAGUGAGCAGGAAAGUGUGAUGGUCAUUCCCACCAAAUCUGUGCGCUGCAGGAUCUCAUUUUCCUGAAAUCAGCUGGGGAACAUGAGACCAUUCUUUAUGCUGCUUUUACAAGGACAGCCAGUACCUGAUGCAGGAAAUAAUUGCAUCGGGUCUAAUUGAGUCAGAUCUAACUGCAUGUGAUCUUUUUGUGGAUUGUUUUUCUGCUUGUUUGUUGUGGGAGGAGGAGGAGGGAAAGUUUGCUCUUAUUUUUGAACUCAUGGGCAAACAAGUAGGCAACUCAGGGCUUAGUGUCAUUUUUGGCUGUGUAGUAAACAAAGUGAGCCCCAGUCUAUGAUGCCUGACACAGGCACAUUUCUGAGCAGGUGCUGGUAUGGGCUUCCUUCUCCUAACCAGAGUGGGUGGGUGGCUUGGUCCUCUGUUCAGACUCCAAAAUUGUACGUUUUACACUUUAAGCUUUCCUCUGACCUGAGACCUCAGACACAUCCUCGUCCUUUCUUCUUGCAUGUACUCUACUUGGAGGUCAGUUUCCAGCAUCCCUUCAGCCCACCUGCCAGAAGGAGACAUCACUUUCUCUGUGUCCUGCUCCUUAAGUCAGGCACACUAUCCAGGUUCAGCUUUGCAGGUUGCCUGUCGUGGGUAUGCUGCAACUCCAUUUCUAGAGCCAAAGCUUCUAGGGAUGGUCAACUAGUAGUACAACUCUGGCUGCUAAUUUAUUCCAAAUAAACUAGAUUAUGACAGUCUGUGACACUUAUAUGAUCCUUGAAUAGGGGACCAGAGGGUUGGGAGGACGCUGGGAUGUGCAUGUGGUGGGAGGAGGGAGAGGUGGGCCUCAAAGUUUCCAGCUUUGCACAUGAGACUGGCCCAGACUGUUGUGCUGCUUGGGCAGGUCUCUUGUCUGCCUUGGCUUGUGUUAGGCUGGAAGGCGCAGUGAGAAAUAGUAAAGACUGAAAAAGCACUAAGAUACCAUUUUCUGCUAAAACACACCAAUAUUCCAGCGUACAUGUGGCUCAGAUUUGCAGUGAGCGGGCUGCUAGGAAAGGUGUGCGGGUAACAAAGGGGUCUUUGUAAACUGCAGAGGAAGAAACUGGAACCACACUGGCACAGGCUCUGGGUGACAUAAACACUGUUACAGGUGCCGAAUUAGGUGCAAAAAUUUCAAAUUAUCACCUUCUUUGUUUGCUGUCAAGAAGAUGCAAGUUAGUUGGCAGGGGAACUAAGUGACACUGUGGUGCUAAACACCCCAAACCACAGUGAGACAAAAGGCAUGCCUAAAACCUUGGCUGAUGAUGUACAGUAAGUGGGAGUGGAGAGUUGUCCCAGUCUGGGUAAAAUGGAGUUAGAUGGUUUCUUGUUGGAUUACCACUGGCUCCUAAGGUGGGACAUCGAAGUAACUCCAAUUACAGGUCUGUGACAGUUGCCAGCUUGCUCUUAAAUUGCAGUAAGUGACAUGAACCAUGAAAAACUGGAGAUAACAAUAAUAAUAAUGAUAACUCUUUCAAAGACUUGAGCAUCUAAGUAGAAGCUGCCACCAUGACCAUGAUGUAUAAACAGGAAACUUGAUUUAGUAACAAGAGGAGAGGUAUAGGGAAAAGCGACAUGAACAUGGAGCUCAGAACAUCCAGCCCAGCAUUACAGGGAUAUUUUGUUCUGCUACAAGAUUUCUGUGUUGGUGUGUUCAGGCUAUGCACAUCCUGGAUCCUUGUUGUCCUUCAGUUAUAACCCCAUGCCUCUGGGAUGGUAUGAGGAGCAACCAGCUGGUAUCUAUUUUGCCAAUAUGCAACAUCCUCGAUCUGGCUCAUGAAAGUCCUGUGCAGUGGAAGAUGGCUAUUAUGGCAAUCCACUUGCAUUUGCUUUUUCUUAGCUGUGUUAAGGAGGACACGGGGGCAGAAACAGGGGGACGCUGCCAUGAAGACAGAAAUAAACCCAAACUCGAACUGGGAAAGGGCUGGUGAGAUGUGGUUGCGUGGAUCUGGUAUGUGCUGCGGGUACAAACUGAAACAUUUUCUUCAAGUGCUGUGGAACAUGGGAUCAAUAUUGCUGGCUUGCUAGCUGAUUAAAUGAAACAUUGCCUUUCUGCAGGAAAAUGGGGCUUUUGAGGGGUUCCUGCACCAGCUGCUGUAGCUUAUCAGGCUAUAUUUAAUCAGAGCCCAGAAGUACAGUUGUCUGGCUGCUGAAGCUACUUUUUCUCAUGACUUCUGGGCAUCUUGGACCAGCCCCUCCAUGCCCUGCUCCUAGGAGCGGGAAGCUGAUAACACCAUAGAGCAUCUCUGCAGUCCUCUUUUGAGUCUGCAUGUAAAAAUCGCCACUGGGGUUUGCAUUUCCCCUGCAUCUGGGACACAUACAGAUUAGUGGGAUUUUGGACUCCUCUAAAUCCCAGGGAGUUGGGUGAAACCUUGCUUUUCCGUGCAAAAGAUUGACUUGGUUAUUUAAACAGCACUACACUGGCAGGCUCCUGCAGUCCCCACAGAAGGAAAUAGCUUCAGUAUUGCUUUCUUUAUUCAUCUACUGUGCUGUGUUAGAAAGGGCAGAGCACGGGGUUUUCCAGCAAGGCCCAGGCUAUGCUUAUGUAUCCUGCUCCAGCUGCAGCUUCAUGGAGGAAGCCUUUCACCCCCAUGCUGGGCUCCCUCCCCUCUCUUCACCUCUUGCUGCCAGUCAUCAUCAUUUUCACAUAGUUCAUACAACAUAAUUGCAGUGUAAUUGCCCCCAGUCCAGCUUAGCAAAACAAAAACAUGCCAAGAUUAACCCAUCUAUGUGAUCGGUCUUUGCUGAUCCAGACCAUUGGAACUGAACCAUGUUGUAGAAGGAUGAUUUGAGCCUGGAGACAUGCCACAUGUGUGGGUAACCCCACUGCAUCCACUGCCUGCCAGGUGUGGAUGUGGGCAGAGCCUCCCAAGCUCCUCCACCCUGAACUGCAGAAGAGGAGAAGUUUCAAACUGGGAACAGAUUUGCAUCCUCCAGAAGGCAAGGGGAAGGAAGACGCACAAGGGACAUAAACAGUGAGAUUACCUCUGCAUGCUGUGGGUUAAAAUGCUAUCAUCUUUUUGAGUAGAGCAUGUAAAGUGUGUACAUCUGGAACGUGUGCGAGCUGCUGCGGCUCUAAUUAUGGGACUGUGGCACACUGGGCUACUGCACAGGCUGCUGAGCAGCCCUAGCUGUUUGAGCCUGGACUAACUUUGGUAUGAUUCAUGAUGUUAAUGAUGCAUUUUUACAGCAGAGGAGGAAGAAUCCUAUUGUCCUUUCUUCUUUGUUUCAGUAUAUUUUUGCUUUAUAUCCGUUGAAUGCUUUGUUUCCAUUUUGUAUUAAUUUUGCAAAUUGGUCCCUGUGGUAAGAGCAUGUGUAACGGUUUUAUGCAGCCUUUUCUAAGCCUGCCUUAAUGUCCCUGCAUUUAUCUUUUGAAGCUAAUAAUUAAAAGGGGAAAAACACUGUCUGUGGACUUCUA